UACGGGGGGGGCAAGCGUUGUUCGGAAUUACUGGGCGUAAAGGGUUCGUAGGUGGCUUGCUAAGUCAGACGUGAAAUCCCUCAGCUUAACUGGGGAACUGCGUCUGAGACUGGUGAGCUUGAGUGCAGGAGAGGAACGCGGAAUUCCAGGUGUAGCGGUGAAAUGCGUAGAUAUCUGGAGGAACACCGGUGGCGAAGGCGGCGUUCUGGACCAAUACUGACGCUGAGGAGCGAAAGCCAGGGGAGCAAACGGG
rnacentral:rRNA from 1 species